UUAGUAUUUUGGUUCAUAGAGGGCACCAACAAAAGCCGACCAGCCCUGCAAUUGGCUGUUAAGAAUUUUGACUUUUGCUCUAAGCUCCACCUCCUGUCCGGAAACUGGCUUCAUUCGAGAUAGCCGAUUCCAACCAUAAGUUCCCCCAACAUACUAAUACACCAUGGUUGAAGUUUGAAGUUGAGAGUCUGCACUUCACGGACUCAGCACUCAGCAGACGACAAAAUAUUUUUUGAGAAACAUGUAGAGUUUCCAAUUUCGUCUGCUACAGCCUCGACGUAGCAGACGUCCCGAUUUUUUGGAUAUUUGUGUUUUUCUGGUUUGUUUUCAACAGUAGUCUUGGAUUUAUCUCGUUUGCGAGCGAAUCUGGACUCUGCAGAAUAUCUUUUUUUCUAUAAUUAUCAACUUCUUUUUCUAUCUUUUUCUCGUUUGUUCCUUCGAUCCACUGUCUGUGAAUAAUAUUCCCCCCCCUUCCAGCUGAUCUGUCAGUGGCCUGACUGAUCAGUUUUUCUUUUCUUCUCUCUCUCUAUCACACCUUUCUGCUGCCUUCUUAUUAGCAUAUAUCAGUUGGCUUAAUUGUGUUUUUUGUUUCUCUCCCUAUUAGUAGACUCUCUUGUGCUCGUUCAUCAGUUAUAAAGGAAAAUAGUGUUAUAACCCUGUUUCAAUCGUAAGUUGCGAAGUUCUAUUUUCAAAUUUUUUAUAAACAGGAAGUGUGUGGUGAAAUUCCACCCCGUCCGGUCUGGUUCUAAGCAUAACUGGAAAAGGCUUGGUCAACUAGUUUAUUGUUCUAAAGAGCUAAGAUCUCCGGUGAUCUUGCUCCUCCUCCCUGAGCGAGUGGCAAGGCCAGCUUCUCAGUCCGUUCUCGUGUCGUGGGCUUCUGAGGAAGCGCCGGAAACCUUCUGGUGGAGACCUUGGGGGGAUUGAGUACUGGUCACUCUGCUCACGCUUGGGUUGAGGGGUAAGUGAACUGGGGAUAGUUUUAAUCUCUUCGACGCUGUACUCGUCUUGCCUGUCCUUCCCAGUCGUAGAGGAUCGUCCAUCUCUUUCUUUCUUUCUUUCUCGCUACUUGAUUCCCUUUUUAUAAGGACCCGGAUCUUAACUGCUAAUCACUAACCUUCUCCACUUCCCUCAGAUUGAUGGGAGAUGAUGAUGAUCCAGGCGGAGAUGCCUCCGUCUGGGGUCCUACUUUCCUAGCACUCAAUAACACCACCCCGUCUCAAAGUCAAUCUACCUCCUGCAAAUCUUGCACUCUUCCGUUUGUCCUGAUAGAUUCUAGAUACAAAUAUUGCGUGGAUUGUAAAGCCACAAUGUUGUCCAGACCGAAAGCGUCCGCGACAAAGAGAGAUAGCUCUGCAGCUCUGUUUUUAAGAUACUAAUUUGCCCAAACAGCAAAAAGAUGAUAAAGAUGAUAACUUCCCCUUCCAAUUUGACAAAGCUUUCGGAAUGGACGUCGAUUUAUUCCUUGAUCUAACCUCAGCAGAGCAAACGCUCAAAUUGAAAUCCUUUUUUGCCAAAUUAGAAGAAGAAGCAGUCUGUGUCAAAUCAGAAAAGACUUUAAUGACAAGGAAAAUCGUGAAGCUUGAAAAAGUAAUCGAAAAUAGAGCCACUCUCCAAAGCGAAUUAAACCUAGCCAAAAAAGAUCUUUUAACUGCCAAACUAUCUCUAGCUGACAAAGACAUCCGGCUUUUUGAGCUGCAAUCGUCUGUCAAAUCAGCUAUGACUCCGUCUUUGAUCCCACCCCAUUCAGCUUCAAACCCUCCAACUAGCAAUCCCUCGGCUCCGAAAGAUACCCGCCUGUAUGCGGAGGUACCUAAAAAACCAGUUUUGAUCGCUCAUAUAGGAGGUAGCAACCGUCUGCCGAUGAACGAAAUUUCAAACGACAAAAUCGACAAUUUAUUUGAUCUUGAUGGUGACGGUCCUGUUGUCCAAAACAUAAAGAAAAUCGAUGGACGAGUAAUUUUGUCUUUUUUAGACGUGGCCUCUCGCGACAAAGCCCAAGAUCUCUUCAAUAAUAACUCAGCCCAAAACGUGUUUCGUUCUGUAUCGGUCCCUCAAAAACAGUAUCCUGCUCUGGUCAGGUUUCGAGAACUACAGGGAAUCUCUCAUCUAAAAAGCACUGAAAACAAGGCUGCUCGAGUUGCGCAAGAGAACGCUCUUAAACGUAGGCUUGUUGAACAAAAUCCUGGCCUAAGGGGUCAUUUAGAGUCAGUGCGAGUCCACCAACGCCCAAACAGCAACUCUUUCCUUGUCAGAAUUGCUUUCACCUCCAAGCCCUUCUGUGAGCAUCUGAUAAAAAGUGGUAGAAUCCUCCUGGAUGGCGUUACUCAUGCGGUUGUCGAGUCUGACCCAAGAAAAGAGGUGCGGCACUGCUCAAAGUGCCAAAAUUAUGGACAUAUCCAUCAUUUUUGUAAUUCCGCUAUCUUAGUUUGUGGGAAAUGCUCGCAGAACCAUGCGACUCAUACCUGUACAUCAUUCCCCAAAGACUUCAAAUGUGCAAAUUGUCAGCAAAACCAUCAAGUUGGCUCAAACGCGUGUCCUGCUCUGGCCAAGGCCGUAGCUCAAUGCCUCGCCUACAUUUCCACCAAGUGAACAUGUCAGUCGCCCAUCACAACAUCAGCAAAGCGUCUGCCCCACUCAAGUGUUUUCAGAUCAAUCUGAGGCACGCUGCGCUGCGCUUAAUCUCUCGCAAUUGAUACUGGAUCUUGACAUUGAUGUGAUUUUAAUUCAAGAGCCGUAUGCAGCUAUGUCCCCCCUGUCUUCUUCGUUUGAGUCUAAAUUCGUUCCUCUUGGCUACUCUUCUUUCCAGUCUUCCGAGCAUGCUUUCGGCGCCCUGAUUAUUGCCAAAAGUUCUCUUAACGUUUCGCUCUGCAAUUUUGGUCUAUCAAAUAAUUGUUGUGGCAUCAAGCUGUCGAACGAUCUUUUCUUUUUUUCUAUUUUCUGCAGACCGUCUCUGGUAUCGAUUCCUUUACACCUCGAGUCAAUUUUUAAUUCUAUUCCGCCGGCCGUAAAAAACACGCCUUUUUCGGCAUUGAUUGCAACGCCAAAAGUCAGGACUGGAACAGCGUUCGCUCUGACCACAUCGGCGUUGACCUAGAGCUCUGUUUCCUAAAUAACGCUCUCUCUGUUUCAAAUGUGAAUCUUAACCUACUUUCACACAAGACGUCCAACACGUCCUCUGUUGACGUCACUCUGGCUGGGGACUCCGUCUCCCUCAAUUGUUGACAAUACCCGGCCUAUCCGUCUCUUUCGGACCACCCUUUUAUCUCUUUCCGUGUGCCCUUUGGUUGUCGUGUUGCCCCGCCUGCACGCACUGAGGUCCGUCUUCCGUCUCCUCCCAACUGCAACAUGCCUCUUUUUCUCUCAAACCUUGAAGCCUCCCUCGGUACCAUGGUCAUCCCCAGUACUAUACAGACGUUUACUUCUCCUCAUGAUAUCGAAGCAUUCAUUGCAAAUUUGACUGACUAUCAAGUCGGCUGCUCUGAAAAGUAAACUCCCAUUUCAUCCCUCCCGAGCCCCUGCUAGGAUGCCCUGGUGGUCCGAUAAUAUGUGGUCUCUGCGUAAAAAGCUGAGAGACGCCUACAAACUUAGUCGUGAGUCUCCCUCUCAAGGGCAUAGAGACGCGUACAGUCACCUCAAAGCCGAGUAUCAAAGGACCCUCAGAGCAGGAAAAAAAGAAAGCUGGAAAUCCUUCUGCUCCAAUAACCUAAACGGAGAUAGUUUUGGAGAGUUAAAAAAGUUGACGUUAUCCACCCCAGUUAACAACCAUCCUUCAGAACUACUAAUUGAUGAGGUUUCCAUUACUGACCCAAAAGACAUCCUUUCUGCCUUCAGCUCGCAUUUCUUCCCGACUAACCCUCCAGAUGAAUCAUUUCACAAAUCCGCUCUGCUCUCCUCAACUACCUUCUGCGAAGCACCUCUCUCCUCUACGGAAUAUUUCGUCCUCCCUUCCGAAGUUAAGCAGGCCUUCGAUAGUGUGCGUCUCUCUAAGUCCGCUGGCUCGGAUGGAAUCUCGUCCAUCUGGCUAAACCAUUCCUUCGAUUUAAUCAAAUCCCAUUUAGCGGCCCUCUUCUCGGUUUGCUUCAACCUCGGCUACUUUCCUAAAUGCUGGAAAACCGCCUCUAUCGUCAUUCUUAAAAAAGACAAUAAACCGAACUACCUUCACCCAAACUGUUUCAGACCAAUCGGUAUAAUCAACAGCCUCUCUAAACUGUUUGAGAAAAUCAUUCUUGCUAAACUUAAGGCUUUGGCUGAUACGCACUCUUGGUUUAGCCCCAGUCAGCAUGGUUUCAGGGCAGGUCUAUCCACAGAAACGGCCUCCCUCUCUCUUAUUAAGUUAAUCGAAGGCAACAAAAAAAAGAUGGUCACUUGUUGUGCUUUUUUUAGACAUUAAGUCAGCUUUUGACGCGGCCUGGCACCCAGCCAUUCUGAACAGCCUAAUUAAAAAAGGCUGCCCCCAGUUCUUAGUAAAAAUUCUGGGUGACUUCCUCAGCUCUCGCUCAAGCAUUUUGAAAAACGUUUCGGCCUCCUUCACUGCCAACACUAAGCUCGGUUGUCCACAAGGCAGUGUCCUCUCGCCGUUUCUUUGAAACAUUCUUAUAGAGGAACUGCUAAGCCUUAGUUUCCCUUUUCUCUUCUUUAUUUCGGCGUAUGCCGAUGACAUUGUUCUCUGUGCUAUGGACAAAGACUUUGAUACUGCUCUUGCCAACCUUCAAGCAAUGAGCGAUUCCGCUGUAGCAUGGGGUCGUUCGGUCAAACUAACUUUCAACGGCUUAAAAUUCGUCUUCAUGGUCUUCUCCUCUAAACGAACCCUGCCGUCAUUGCCCUUGAAGGUUGACAACAUAUGUGUUGCUCGUUCCCACUCAUGCCUGUACCUUGGUCUAACCAUCGAUGACAAACUCAGCUGGAACACCCACAUAUCUAACAAAUGCGCUGCGGAAGCGUGUAAUUGCAGCCCUGAAAUCCGCCCAACGCCCUUUUGCGCUGACCAUUGGCCGACUGUUCAAAUCCACGUCUACUGACGCGGCCCUCAUUCUCGCCAACAUCCUCCCUCUGCACCUCAAAAUCAUCGAAAUGGUUCUAAAGAGAUCCAUCUCUACCCUAGCUGCUCUUCUGCCACCCUCGUCGUUACAAGUUGCUGGCGGUAUCUCUGCCAAAAUUCUGGCGUCUGAAGCUCCAGCAGGCAUACCCCUUGGUCUGCACAGGAAAAGAGUGAUGCGGUCAGAAAUGCUUUCCCUUUGGAACGCAGCCUGGCAAAAUGCAAACACGGGUGCCCAGACCCGCUUGUUCUUUCCCUCAGUGGAAUCCGCCUUGAUUUUGUCCUCUUCUAAAUUACCUUUCUUUCUCUGCAGCUUUCUCUCGGGCCACUGCGGUCUAAACAAUUUUCUUUUUAAAAUCAAAAGGUCCCCGUCACCGCUCUGUCCCUGCCUGUCAGGGGAAGUGGAAAACGCAGCGCACAUUUUAUUUGUCUGUGUAAGCCACGUCGCACACCGAGUACGCCUUAUUUCUUCUGCGGCUGAGCUAAAGCUUUCUUGGCCAGUCCCACUAGACGCCUUCUCCCAAUCGAAAACUCUAUGGUCUGCGUUUGUCAAAUUCCUAUGUUCCAUCAAAAGACUAUAACCGCCAUUACCUUUCCCAUCUAUUUAUAUUUUAUUCUGUUCUCUUAGUUGCGUUUUGGCCGCUCCUUUUGUUUCGCAUGAGUCCCUCGUGCCCUAAUUUCUGGCGUAUUCGACCCUGAUGUCAUCCUCUGGCUCUAGCGGGCGCCUUAACCGGACCGUGGCCGUAAGAGUCGUCCGUUGCUUCGCGGUGCUGGUGACAUCCAAAUCAGCAUCUCGUCGCUCCGGACCAUCUGGGGGGUCGACAGCGGCAGUCUUUUUACUCAGUCUUUCCCAUCUAUUUAUAUUUUAUUCUGUUCUCUUAGUUGCAUUUUGGCCGCUCCUUUUGUUUCGCAUGAGUCCCUCGUGCCCUAAUUUCUGGCGUAUUCGACCCUGCUGUCAUCCUCUGGCUCUAGCGGGCGCCUUAACCGGACCGUGGCCGUAAGAGUCGUCCGUUGCUUCGCGGUGCUGGUGACAUCCAAAUCAGCAUCUUGUCGCUCCGGACCAUCUGGGGGGUCGACAGCGGCAGUCUUUUUAGUCUUUUCCUCAGUCUGACAGCCGGAAUGCUCUCCCCUGCCUAAUAAUAUCGCGUGCUGCUCCGCUCCACUCUUUCCAGAAUUCCAGUUCUCCUUUCGAACUUCUGCCUAAUUUUUCUUCUCGGUUCCCUCUCUCUUCUUCCAUCCUCCUCUUUUUCCUUAUUUUAUCCCUACUUCAUAAUAAUUUGACUUUUGUAUUUAACCAUGCCUAUGACAAUAAAUUGGUAACAUUCGCCUUCGGCGAAUACACACCUCAUUUUUAAAAAAUGUACAGUUUGGCAAUGCUGCGUGAAGUGCAAUAGCAACUUUGACAGUUUGAGUACUUCACGUGUGAAGUGCAAUAGGCGCGACCCGACCCGGAUAUAUGAGCAUAAUAUUUAUUAUUCAGCUUUCAGAAAUGAUAAAAGAGAAAUCUCUUCGAAUCGGUUUCAUAGGUUGUGGAAAGAUGGCUCAAGCUUUAGCUAAAGGAUUUAUUGCAUCUGGAAUCACUAGAUCAGAAAAUAUUAUUGGAAGUUCUCCUCGAAUAGAUUCCACAUUCAUAGAGGAAUUUGCU